rnacentral:rRNA from 1 species
UACGUAGGUGGCAAGCGUUGUCCGGAAUCAUUGGGCGUAAAGCGCACGUAGGCGGUCUGUUAUGUCGGAUGUGAAAGCCCUCGGCUUAACUGAGGAAGUGCAUCCGAAACUGGCAGGCUAGAGUACCAAAGAGGGUCGCGGAAUUCCCGGUGUAGAGGUGAAAUUCGUAGAUAUCGGGAGGAACACCGGUGGCGAAGGCGGCGACCUGGGUGGAUACUGACGCUGAGGUGCGAAAGCGUGGGGAGCAAACAGG